GGGGACGUAGCUCAGUCGGUUAGAGCGAAGGCUUGUCAAGCCUUAGGUCGCGGGUUCGAGCCCCGUCGUCCCCGCCA
rnacentral:tRNA from 1 species